GAUGAACGCUGGCGGCGUGCCUAAUACAUGCAAGUCGAGCGAACGGACGAGAAGCUCGCUUCUCUGAUGUUAGCGGCGGACGGGUGAGUAACACGUGGAUAACCUACCUAUAAGAAUGAGAUAACUUCGGGAACCCGGAGAUAGUACCGGAUAAUAUUUUGAACGGCAUGGAUCAAAAGAGCACGCCGGUCUUGCUGUCACUUAUAGAUAGAUCCGCGCUGCAUUAGCUAGUUGGUAAGGUAACGGCUUACCAAGGCAACGAUGCAUAGCCGACCUGAGAGGGUGAUCAGCCACACUGGAACUGAGACACGGUCCAGACUCCUACGGGAGGCAGCAGUAGGGAAUCUUCCGCAAUGGGCGAAAGCCUGACGGAGCAACGCCGCGUGAGUGAUGAAGGUCUUCGGAUCGUAAAACUCUGUUAUUAGGGAAGAACAUAUGUGUAAGUAACUGUGCACAUCUUGACGUUACCUACUCAGAAAGCCACGGCUAACUACGUG
rnacentral:rRNA from 1 species